rnacentral:sRNA from 1 species
GGAACACCUGAGACUGCGAUUGGUGUGUGGCAUCCACUCCAUGUGGCGCCCACACGUGAUGGCCAUCCUCAUUUGGUAUGCUGCCUUCGCGGUCUUUGUGGCAGAUUACCAUCGAUGGCGUCGCGUAACGCGCCAGACAAAUGCUGAAAACUUGUCAAUUCCUGGAGGGGGAUAUGUAUAUACUAUAUAUAUAAGGUUCCCAGUUGACUAAUUUAUGCAAAUGUAUGCCGAUUCCAGUUGAGAGAAAUAUUUUAUAAUUUUUUUAUACACUUCUGCAAGUCGCUUGUGGCCCAUUAGCAUAAUGGACCAAUGUUGGCCAGAAGGAGGAUCUUAGAUCAGUAGCCAAAACCAGAAAUGACAGAAAAAAAAAACAAAACUUUGGCCAGAAGUAGCAACAUAUAUCGCUAAUGAUGUGCUAAUGUCGCCAACAAUGUUUGACAACCAAAACAGAAAUAUUGUUUUUACAAAUUAUGGUGAUAGACGCAAAAUAGAAGACCCAUGCCAAGGGGGCACUUAAAGUUAAAUAGAUAGAUAUAAGUAUAAUAAUAUAGAUAGCUAUCAGCAUAUUAAUGAGAUUGUUAUUGGUUUUAUAUUACAAAAAGUUUAUGUAUUUAUUUAGAAAAAGUAAAUUAUAUUUCUAUACAAGUUAAUUGGUAUGCACGAAAGCUUCUUCAAUACUUUCAUAUUUUUCAUGUUUAAAUAGUAAUUUUUAAUAUCCUAACUUAUCUUUUUUUCUCACAUUAUUGCGUAUUUACCAUAAACAAAAAUGAUUUUAGCACAUUAGCAACGUUUAUAAACUAUUAAGAUAGCAUCUAAAAUGUAUGUUUAGACAUAUCAUUAGCAAAGCAAAUUUUUGCAGAUUUAUUGCCAAACAAAAGACCCAAAAAGAGUUCUAGAGUUAAGCUAACAAAUAUAUUAAUAUAUUUACUAUUUUUAUAUUGCUAGUUUGUUAUUCUUCUACUGUCAUCAUGUUCACUAAAUUAAUACGUUUUCGAUGAAAAUGCGUAAUUAAUUUGGGCGGCUUGUUUGGUUUCUUUUUUUCUACUUUUAAAGAAAUUCAAAUUCAAAACUAGCCACUUAAUUUCAUUUAAUUAAUUUCAGUCUAAUUAUUAACCCCAAAGGGGCAAUACAAGUCCAAAGCCGACCGACUAGUUAGGCAGAUAUACGAAGAGAUUUUUGGGCAGAUGAUAUUUCAUCUGCAUAAUUAUGCAUUUUAGACCCACCGAUUAUGCAUAAGACUAAUGCUCCAAGGUCGGAUUAGUGUGUUGGUCUUUUGUUGAUGGAAAGUUAAUCUAAAUCGAUUGAAAUGAAUUUUUAAGCGAUGACUUGCCUUUGUAUCUAUUUGGAAUGUUUUGGUUUUCUCUAUGAAAUGCGUUUAAAAAAGAUCUUAGAUUGCAGAUAUCAGUGGUUUAUGGAUUUAGUGGAACGGAAUGUGAAACUAAGAGUUUUUGAUUGUUUAAUAAACGAAAUUAAAUGCUACUUAUGCUAAUAGUUUAUUUUCAUUAGAAAGCAAAGAAAGCGGAGUUUUGAAAUUUGCAAGCCAAAAACUCUGCUAUAUAGUUGGUGAAAACAUUGAAAGUGGAUCUUACUCGUACAUCAAUCUUUUAAGAACCGAAAGCUUAAGAGUCCAUAAAAAUGUAAAUUCAGGAUUUAUUAGCUCUUAUCACCUGUUUUUCACUCCCACCUCGAACCCGCAUAAUGCUGGCAAUUAUAGCCAAACAAAUUGCCCAACUCCGACUUGGCCAUAUAAACCGCAGCGAAGGCGAUGCACUAAAUCUUUGGGAACUCGAAUCCAUUGGCUGGCCUAAUGCUAAAUGCUAAAUGCAGCCUACAAGCCCGCAUUAGUGAGUGCGACUGAUCGAUCGAUGGUCGCUGCCAAUUAUGGUCAGCGAUCUCUGGACCAUGGCUAAAACCGCUGCAUUCGAUACGACCACGAUGAAUGCGACGACCCACAAAAGCAACAGAGACUCCAAAAGACUGUUUGUCAAAAAA